GACGAACGCUGGCGGCGUGCUUAACACAUGCAAGUCGAACGGUGAAGCCCUUCGGGGUGGAUCAGUGGCGAACGGGUGAGUAACACGUGAGCAACCUGCCCCUGGCUCUGGGACAACCACUGGAAACGGUGGCUAAUACCGGAUACGACCCGCCUCGGCAUCGAGUGUGGGUGGAAAGUUUUUCGGCUGGGGAUGGGCUCGCGGCCUAUCAGCUUGUUGGCGAGGUGAAGGCUCACCAAGGCGACGACGGGUAGCCGGCCUGAGAGGGCGACCGGCCACACUGGGACUGAGACACGGCCCAGACUCCUACGGGAGGCAGCAGUGGGGAAUAUUGCACAAUGGGCGAAAGCCUGAUGCAGCGACGCCGCGUGAGGGAUGACGGCCUUCGGGUUGUAAACCUCUUUCAGCUCCGAAGAAGCGAAAGUGACGGUAGGAGCAGAAGAAGCACCGGCUAACUACGUG
rnacentral:rRNA from 1 species